AUUGUAGUCUGCAACCCGACUACAUGAAGCUGGAAUCGCUAGUAAUCGCGGAUCAGAAUGCCGCGGUGAAUACGUUCCCGGGUCUUGUACACACCGCCCGUCACACCAUGGGAGUCGGAAAUGCCCGAAGCCGGUGACUCAACCUGCAAAGGAGAGAGCCGUCGAAGGCAGGUCUGAUAACUGGGGUGAAGUCGUAACAAGGUAAC
rnacentral:rRNA from 1 species